ensembl:lncRNA
CAAGGACAGAGCUAGCCCUUACUGUACAAACAGCUCUGACAGGAAUCCACACUUGAGCCUCCUGUUUUUCCAUCCUGAGUGUUGAUUAAGAAGUGACAGGGCACAAACAAAUGGACAGAAAACAAACCGUGAAGGUUGCCAACAGUUUACAGAGCUUGGCCCAGGUGCGCUCCUGCUGCAUACACAAAAAUGCCCACAAGGAAAAGGGAGAGAAAGGGCAUAAAUCGCGGACAGGGUCCAAAGAAGAAGAGCACUGAAAAGUGAAAAAUGAGUCUUGGGAUCUGUGCCUGGUACUGAUGCAAAUGAAGGUGGAACUAUACAAACAGCAACACAAUUGGGCCAUUCAUCAUUCCUUCAUUAGCAGCUUUUCUUCACAACACCCCCAUCAAAGAAAGAAAACCUCCCUUCUUUUUAUUAAAGAUCAAGAGGAUUGAAAAGAAAGCGUAAUUGGCCCAACUAAGGUAUCCACUUGUCUACAACCUUGUCUACAACCAAGCAACCCUGAAAUGGGGUACUUCAAGAAGUAUGAACAGCGACCAUGCUCAAACCAACUGAAUGGGUCUUCUGUUCUCAAUGGGUGAAUUCAACACCUGUCCACACCAACCUCACAGGUGGAGCUGCAGCAGCAAUUAUCAAAACGAGUUCUGAAGAUAAGUUCAUUCAACACCAAAUCAAAGCCUGGAAGUAGCAGCAAGCUAACUAGCUGUGUACAGAAGCCCUGCAAAAACGCAUCCAUCCAUCUUGUUGACAGAAGGGGCUCACACACACAAACUGCUUCCGCAUGAGAAUGGGAAGACAGCACAUGUUGCUCUGUACAACAGCAUACAGGGACCAGAAAUUGAUGGCAUGCAGCUGUGGGGGCAAAAUCUCUUCUCAGCCUGCCCAUGGAGACUUGAAAGGCUGACAGAGGAAAACUUCAUUUAAGCAGUGAUAUCAAAGACAUGUGGGCAAAUAAAAUACAGCAGUGUCUCUGCAAAUAACACAUAAAAUUACCAAUUAUUAUGUAUGAAAAACUAGUCUAGAAAAAGAAACGUAGCUUCAACUCUUUCA